CACGUAGGGGGCGAGCGUUGUCCGGAUUUAUUGGGCGUAAAGAGCUCGUAGGCGGCUCGGUAAGUCAGGUGUGAAAACUCUAGGCUCAACCUAGAGACGCCACCUGAUACUGCUGUGGCUAGAGUCCGGUAGGGGAGCAUGGAAUUCCUGGUGUAGCGGUGAAAUGCGCAGAUAUCAGGGGGAACACCGGGGGCGAAGGCGGGUCUCUGGGCCGAUACUGACGCUGAGGAGCGAAAGCGUGGGGAGCGAGCAGG
rnacentral:rRNA from 1 species